rnacentral:rRNA from 1 species
UAGGGAAUCUUCCACAAUGGACGCAAGUCUGAUGGAGCAACGCCGCGUGAGUGAAGAAGGUUUUCGGACCGUAAAGCUCUGUUGUUGGUGAAGAAGGAUAGAGGUAGUAACUGGCCUUUAUUUGACGGUAAUCAACCAGAAAGUCACGGCUAACUACGUGCCAGCAGCCGCGGUAAUACGUAGGUGGCAAGCGUUGUCCGGAUUUAUUGGGCGUAAAGCGAGCGCAGGCGGAAGAAUAAGUCUGAUGUGAAAGCCCUCGGCUUAACCGAGGAAUUGCAUCGGAAACUGUUUUCUUGAGUGCAGAAGAGGAGAGUAGAACUCCAUGUGUAGCGGUGGAAUGCGUAGAUAUAUGGAAGAAUACCAGUGGCGAAGGCGGCUCUCUGGUCUGCAACUGACGCUGAGGCUCGAAAGCAUGGGUAGCGAACAGGAUUAGAUACCCUGGUAGUCCAUGCCGUAAACGAUGGGUGCUAAGUGUUGGGAGGCUUCCGCCUCUCAGUGCUGCAGCUAACGCAUUAAGCACUCCGCCUGGGGGAGUACGACCGCAAGGUUGAAAC